GCCUACGGCCAUACCACCCUGAAAGCGCCCGAUCUCGUCUGAUCUCGGAAGCUAAGCAGGGACGGAAUUGGUUAGUAUCUGGAUGGGAGACCGCCUGGGAAUACCAGCAAUCCGUGGCGC
ensembl:rRNA 5S_rRNA 5S ribosomal RNA